rnacentral:rRNA from 1 species
UUAUAUAGAUAAUUAUCUAUACAUAAGUAGUUAAAUAUUUUAUAAAAUAAAAAAAAAAAAAGUAAAAUCAUUGCUUAAAAUAUUAAUGUAGGUAUUAUUUUUAUAACUGUGGGGGUAAGUUAGUUAAUAACUUUGUUGGAAUAUCUGUGAAAUUAGUGAAAUUUGUGCCAGCAUCUGCGGUUAGACUAAAGAUUUAAUUAAUAUUUUUUAGGGUUUAUGAUGUGUGAGAUUUUUGUUAUAUGAUUUGGUGAAAUAAUUUAUUGAAUUUUGAUGAAAUUGACUAAAAAAAAUUUAGUAAAAGCAGGAUUAGAUACCCUGUUAUUUUAUUUUGUGUUUGUCUAAGGAUUAAGUAUAAAUUUAGAAGAUUUGGCGGCCAGGAUUAAUUAAAGGGGUUUGUUUUUUUAUUUGAUGUGACUCAAUGUGUUUCACUUAUUUUAUUUAGUAUACCGUCAUUUAGGUAGUUUAUAAUUAGUUAACUAUUGUAAGGUAAUUCAGAAAAUUAGAUCGAGGUGCAGAGAUAGAUAAGGAUAAAUUAACUACAAUAAUAUAUUAUUAUACUUACUUUUUUUAAAUUGAGGCUGCAGGUGGAUUUAGUUGUAAUUAAAGUUACAUGAAAUUUAUCUCGGUGUACAAAUUGCCCGUCAUUCUCUAUGAGACAAGUCGAAACAAAGUAGGCUUAUCGGAAGUUGAGCCUA